rnacentral:rRNA from 1 species
AGUCGAACGGUAACAGGCCGCAAGGUGCUGACGAGUGGCGAACGGGUGAGUAAUGCAUCGGAACGUGCCCAGUCGUGGGGGAUAACUGCUCGAAAGAGCAGCUAAUACCGCAUACGAUCUAUGGAUGAAAGCGGGGGACCGUAAGGCCUCGCGCGAUUGGAGCGGCCGAUGUCAGAUUAGGUAGUUGGUGGGGUAAAGGCUCACCAAGCCAACGAUCUGUAGCUGGUCUGAGAGGACGACCAGCCACACUGGGACUGAGACACGGCCCAGACUCCUACGGGAGGCAGCAGUGGGGAAUUUUGGACAAUGGGGGCAACCCUGAUCCAGCAAUGCCGCGUGCAGGAAGAAGGCCUUCGGGUUGUAAACUGCUUUUGUACGGAACGAAACGGUCUGGGUUAAUACCCUGGGCUAAUGACGGUACCGUAAGAAUAAGCACCGGCUAACUACGUGCCAGCAGCCGCGGUAAU